ACUCCCCUUCCUCUCCUUUUUCCCUCCCCCUCUUUUUCUCCUGUGGUUUAAUUCGAAGCAACGCGAAGAACCUUACCAGGUCUUGACAUCCCUUGACAGCCUCAGAGAUGAGGUUUCUCUUCGGAGCAAGGAGACAGGUGGUGCAUGGUUGUCGUCAGCUCGUGUCGUGAGAUGUUGGGUUAAGUCCCGCAACGAGCGCAACCCUUGCUUUUAGUUGCCAUCAUUAAGUUGGGCACUCUAAAAGGACUGCCGGUGACAAACCGGAGGAAGGUGGGGAUGACGUCAAAUCAUCAUGCCCCUUAUGUCCUGGGCUACACACGUGCUACAAUGGUCUGUACAGAGGGAAGCGAAGCAGUGAUGUGAAGCGAAUCCCACAAAACAGAUCUCAGUUCGGAUUGCAGGCUGCAACUCGCCUGCAUGAAGCUGGAAUCGCUAGUAAUCGCAGGUCAGCAUACUGCGGUGAAUACGUUCCCGGGCCUUGUACACACCGCCCGU
rnacentral:rRNA from 1 species